rnacentral:rRNA from 1 species
AUUGAACGCUGGCGGCAUGCCUUACACAUGCAAGUCGAACGGCAGCACGGGUGCUUGCACCUGGUGGCGAGUGGCGAACGGGUGAGUAAUACAUCGGAACGUACCUUAUCGUGGGGGAUAACGCAGCGAAAGCUGUGCUAAUACCGCAUACGCCCUGAGGGGGAAAGCGGGGGAUCGCAAGACCUCGCGCGAUUAGAGCGGCCGAUGCCUGAUUAGCUAGUUGGUGGGGUAAAAGCCCACCAAGGCGACGAUCAGUAGCUGGUCUGAGAGGACGAUCAGCCACACUGGGACUGAGACGCGGCCCAGACUCCUACGGGAGGCAGCAGUGGGGAAUUUUGGACAAUGGGGGCAACCCUGAUCCAGCAAUGCCGCGUGAGUGAAGAAGGCCUUCGGGUUGUAAAGCUCUUUUGUCAGGGAAGAAACACCGGCUCUAACACAGUCCGGGAAUGACGGUACCUGAAGAAUAAGCACCGGCUAACUACGUGCCAGCAGCCGCCGCCG